GCCCAGAUAGCUCAGUCGGUAGAGCAUCAGACUUUUAAUCUGUGGGGCCAGGGUUCAAGACCCUGUUUGGGUG
rnacentral:tRNA from 1 species